GCAAGUCGAGCGGUAGCACAGAGGAACUUGUCUCUUGUGUGACGAGCGGCGGACGGGCGUGUAACGCGUAGGAAUCUACCUAGUAGAGGGGGACAACAUGUGGAAACGCAUGCUAAUACCGCAUACGCCCUUAGGGGGAAAGGAGGGGACUUUUCGGAGCCUUCUGCUAUUAGAUGAGCCUGCGUGAGAUUAGCUAGUUGGUAGGGUAAAGGCCUACCAAGGCGACGAUCUCUAGCUGGUCUGAGAGGAUGACC
rnacentral:rRNA from 1 species